rnacentral:ncRNA from 1 species
CGAUAGAUUUGUUUAUAAUUAAUUCUUGUAUCCCUAUAUACAAUAAUAUUAUAUACUUUAUUAUUAAUUGUAGUAUAAGUUUUAUUCUUGCUUUAAAUUGUUAAAUUUUUAUAUUAAUUAUAUGGUUUUUAUUUAAUUUUUUAUUUUCAGUAAUAAGUAUUAUCAAUUAAUUUUAUUUUUAUUAAGAUAUAUAAUUAUAUUAGAUUAAAAUUGUGCCAGCAUUCGCGGUUAUACAAUUUAUUUAAUUUAACAUUUUUAAGUUUUACUAAUUAAAUUAUUGUGAGUAAUUUAUUUUAAAAUUUAGGUGGAAUUUAUUUUAAAAUAAUAAUCUCUUUUUAAUUUUUAUUAAAUUUUAUUUUUUGACUAGGAUUAGAUACCCUAUUAUUUUUAAUUUAAUUAUUAAUUUGAAUAUUACCAGUUAGGUUCUGUUAAACUCAAAGAAUUUGGCGGUAAUUUAUUUUUUUAGAGGAAUUUGGUUUUUAAUUGAUAAACCACGAUAAAUUUAACUUUUUUUUUAUUCAUAUAUCUCUAUAAUUUGGAAUGUUUUUUUAAUAUAUUUUCUUUAUUUAUUUAAAAAAUUAUAUUAGGUCAAGGUGUGGUUUUGGAGAAGUAAAUUUGAAUUACUUUACUUAUAAAUAAUUUAGAUAUUUUAAAAAUUUUUAAAUUUAAAAUAGAAUUUAAUAGUAAAUAAAAAUAAUUAUUUUUAUUGAAUUUUACACUAAAUUAUGUACAUAUUGCCCGUCACUCUCAUUUAAGUUGAGAUAAGUCGUAACAAAGUAAUUUUACUGGAAAGUGAAGUUAGAAAGUC